GAUGAACGCUGGCGGCGUGCCUAAUACAUGCAAGUCGAGCGAACAGACGAGGAGCUUGCUCCUUUGACGUUAGCGGCGGACGGGUGAGUAACACGUGGGUAACCUACCUAUAAGACUGGGAUAACUUCGGGAAACCGGAGCUAAUACCGGAUAAUAUUUCGAACCGCAUGGUUCGAUAGUGAAAGAUGGCUUUGCUAUCACUUAUAGAUGGACCUGCGCCGUAUUAGCUAGUUGGUAAGGUAACGGCUUACCAAGGCAACGAUACGUAGCCGACCUGAGAGGGUGAUCGGCCACACUGGAACUGAGACACGGUCCAGACUCCUACGGGAGGCAGCAGUAGGGAAUCUUCCGCAAUGGGCGAAAGCCUGACGGAGCAACGCCGCGUGAGUGAUGAAGGUCUUCGGAUCGUAAAACUCUGUUAUUAGGGAAGAACAAACGUGUAAGUAACUGUGCACGUCUUGACGGUACCUAAUCAGAAAGCCACGGCUAACUACGUGCCAGCAGCCGCGGUAAUACGUAGGUGGCAAGCGUUAUCCGGAAUUAUUGGGCGUAAAGCGCGCGUAGGCGGUUUUUUAAGUCUGAUGUGAAAGCCCACGGCUCAACCGUGGAGGGUCAUUGGAAACUGGAAAACUUGAGUGCAGAAGAGGAAAGUGGAAUUCCAUGUGUAGCGGUGAAAUGCGCAGAGAUAUGGAGGAACACCAGUGGCGAAGGCGACUUUCUGGUCUGUAACUGACGCUGAUGUGCGAAAGCGUGGGGAUCAAACAGGAUUAGAUACCCUGGUAGUCCACGCCGUAAACGAUGAGUGCUAAGUGUUAGGGGGUUUCCGCCCCUUAGUGCUGCAGCUAACGCAUUAAGCACUCCGCCUGGGGAGUACGACCGCAAGGUUGAAACUCAGAGGAAUUGACGGGGACCCGCACAAGCGGUGGAGCAUGUGGUUUAAUUCGAAGCAACGCGAAGAACCUUACCAAAUCUUGACAUCCUUUGACCCUUCUAGAGAUAGAAGUUUCCCCUUCGGGGGACAAAGUGACAGGUGGUGCAUGGUUGUCGUCAGCUCGUGUCGUGAGAUGUUGGGUUAAGUCCCGCAACGAGCGCAACCCUUAAGCUUAGUUGCCAUCAUUAAGUUGGGCACUCUAAGUUGACUGCCGGUGACAAACCGGAGGAAGGUGGGGAUGACGUCAAAUCAUCAUGCCCCUUAUGAUUUGGGCUACACACGUGCUACAAUGGACAAUACAAAGGGCAGCGAAACCGCGAGGUCAAGCAAAUCCCAUAAAGUUGUUCUCAGUUCGGAUUGUAGUCUGCAACUCGGCUACAUGAAGCUGGAAUCGCUAGUAAUCGUAGAUCAGCAUGCUACGGUGAAUACGUUCCCGGGUCU
rnacentral:rRNA from 1 species